CAUUGUGAGUUUCAGUUGAAAUUUACUAUCUGUGUAACCUUAGGCAUUUCACAUAACCUGUAUCAACAUCAGUUUUCUUGUUUGUGAUGUUGAACCCAUCGAGUUCUUGUGUUAAGUGACAAAAUGUCAAAAGGUGUAUAAUGUCAAGCACACAGUCAGGCACAAACUCAGAGUCCCCUCAUCUUGUCUUGCUUCCAGUCUUCUUCCUCCAUGUGUUCCAGGUUCCUUAUAGAGAUGAGGCAUUACGGAAAGUGGCUGGGGGUUAAACGACGCAGGUUAAAAAACCAGCUUCUCAUUUUUCUUUUCUAGAAAAAUCAAAGUCUUCUAACGAUAACAUGAGCCAAUCUAUGCCUCAGACUAUGGUCUGCACCGGUGAAUUACAGCUGUGGAAUCUCUGUACAAUUUGUAUCUGAUCCUCGAAUGAAUGUAAGCUGCAAGCUCUUCUACCUUUAUGACAGCCCUGAAACAUUAUAUGUGAGAUCCUGAGCUUUCUCAAAAGGCAAAGCUGAUCUCUCCAGAUGAGGAACUUGAGGCCCUGGGAAAUGAAGUGUCGUGUCCAAGUUUACACAGUGACGGAACCUGAAUCAGAAGUUCCCAGGCCUUUGCAUUCUGGCUACAGAGAACAUACCACCAGCUAUUGACCACUGGUUUAAGACACCUGCUUGUGAAAGAUUUUCUUCAUCAGGCCAUUCCAUUAAUAUCAAGCCAUCUGCUUCUGGGUGACAGGAGAGUCAUAAAUG